rnacentral:rRNA from 1 species
GACGAACCAAGCGAACGUUAUUCGGAAUCACUGGGCGUAAAGGGCGCGUAGGCGGGCCGUCAAGUCAGAGGUGAAAGACUUCGGCUCAACCGAAGAAUUGCCUUUGAUACUUCUUGUCUUGAAUCCGAGAGAGGAUAGUGGAAUUCAUGGUGUAGCGGUGAAAUGCGUAGAGAUCAUGAAGAACACCAGUAGCGAAGGCGGCUAUCUGGCUCGGUAUUGACGCUCAGGGACGAAAGCGUGGGUAGCAAACAGG